rnacentral:rRNA from 2 species
AACAAAAGGGGUUAAAAAGUAUUAUUAGUUAAAGUUAAUGCUUAUAUUUAAAGUCGAAAAAUAUUAUUGUUGUUAGGUGAAAUUUUAAAAUAUGUUAUAGGCUUUAGUUGUAUCAAAUGAAGCUGUGAAAGUUAGUCAAUAAACUA